rnacentral:tRNA from 1 species
CGCGGGGUGGAGCAGCUUGGUAGCUCGUCGGGCUCAUAACCCGAAGGUCGUCGGUUCAAAUCCAGCUCCCGCAACCA